rnacentral:rRNA from 1 species
UACAGAGGGUGCGAGCGUUGUCCGGAAUCACUGGGCGUAAAGAGCUCGUAGGCGGUCUGUUGCGUCCGCUGUGAAAACUCGGGGCUUAACCCCGAGCCUGCAGUGGAUACGGGCAGACUAGAGGUAGGUAGGGGAGAAUGGAAUUCCCGGUGUAGCAGUGAAAUGCGCAGAUAUCGGGAGGAACACCGGUGGCGAAGGCGGUUCUCUGGGCCUUACCUGACGCUGAGGAGCGAAAGCGUGGGGAGCGAACAGG